UACGUAGGGUGCAAGCGUUGUCCGGAUUUAUUGGGCGUAAAGAGCUCGUAGGCGGCUUGUUGCGUCGACUGUGAAAACCUGCGGCUCAACCGUGUGGUCUGCAGUCGAUACGGGCAGGCUGGAGUUCGGUAGGGGAGACUGGAAUUCCAGGUGUAGGGGUGAAAUCCGUAGAUAUCUGGAGGAAUACCGAUGGCGAAGGCAGCUUUCUGGCUCGUAACUGACGCUGAGAUUCGAAAGCGUGGGUAGCAAACAGG
rnacentral:rRNA from 1 species